AUUGAACGCUGGCGGCAUGCCUUACACAUGCAAGUCGAACGGCAGCACGGGAGCAAUCCUGGUGGCGAGUGGCGAACGGGUGGGUAAUAUAUCGGAACGUGCCCAGUCGUGGGGGAUAACGCAGCGAAAGCUGUGCUAAUACCGCAUACGAUCUAUGGAUGAAAGCGGGGGAUCGCAAGACCUCGCGCGAUUGGAGCGGCCGAUAUCAGAUUAGGUAGUUGGUGGGGUAAAGGCCCACCAAGCCGACGAGCUGUAGCUGGUCUGAGAGGACGACCAGCCACACUGGGACAGAGACACGGCCCAGACUCCUACGGGAGGCAGCAGUGGGGAAUUUUGGACAAUGGGGGCAACCCUGAUCCAGCAAUGCCGCGUGAGUGAAGAAGGCCUUCGGGUUGUAAAGCUCUUUUGUCAGGGAAGAAACAGCAGCUCUAACACAGUUUGCGAAUGACGGUACCUGAAGAAUAAGCACCGGCUAACUACGUGCCAGCAGCCGCCGUAA
rnacentral:rRNA from 1 species